GACGUAGGGAGCGAGCGUUAUCCGGAUUCAUUGGGCGUAAAGCGCGCGUAGGCGGCUUCGCAAGUCGGGUGUGAAAACCAGAGGCUCAACCUCUGGCCUGCAUCCGAAACUGCGUCGCUAGAGGUAGGUAGGGGAGAUCGGAAUUCCUGGUGUAGCGGUGAAAUGCGCAGAUAUCAGGAGGAACACCGGUGGCGAAGGCGGAUCUCUGGGCCUUACCUGACGCUGAGGUGCGAAAGCGUGGGGAGCAAACAGG
rnacentral:rRNA from 1 species